UAAGGAGAGACAAGGCUGCAAGGGGCCCCAAAAGGGGCAUGGCCAAAGACUUGAGAAGGAAACAAGAGAAUUAGUUAAAAUACUUUUUCACCCAUAGUCUAUUAUCCUCUUAGUGACCCCCAGGUUUUAGUAAAGUUAGUUACAUGCUAUGUUCAUUUUAGCUGUGCUUUCAGGAAUUAAAGGUUAAACCUGCAUCCACACUUGGAAUGGCGUAGAUUGGGUGAGCCCUGGCUUUAUGGGAAGGAAAUGACCAGAUGGCAACUAUGACGGGCAGAGGCCAGAGCAGUAGUAUGUAAUGGGAGGGACCACCAAGUACUUGGAUGAAUCUGUGGAUGUGGUAUCCACAGGAGUCUCAGAAAUUUCAGAGAAGAUGAACUCAGCGGAAGCUGGGGACCGAGUAUUGCUGUGGAGGAUAAGGGCUGGCACUUUGCUCACUGGGUACUGAAGGGAAGGAUAACAAAUUUUAAUUGGUUGAAUUCAAUGCAGGUACAUGGUUGAUUGAAAUAUUUAUUAGCAUAAUCCUUUGGGUGAAAGAAUUAAGAAAUAUGUUUCCCAUUCAUAUACUGUGGCCCAGGAAUUCUACAUUUUAUCAGUGGUUGUCUUUUAAGCAGUGAUCCUAAGUGACUUAUUUGCUACUUUUAGAUUUUUUUGAAUUUCUACUUUCAGGAAAUAAAGGAUGAGUACAUUGUAAUUAGAUAUAAUACAUUUCAUUCUUUAAAAAAUAUAGGCUUAAAAUUCUAGAGUACUAACCCAUGUGGAUUAUCCAAAAUCCAAAAAGAAAAGUGAGAAGUUCUGGAGCUGGAGGCCUUGGUCCUGCAGUGUCCUAGGUACGCCCUGCUGCCCUGACCAGGCAAUGGUCAGGAUCAGUUAAGGAAGGAAAGUCAAAGUACUGCUUUGAAAUCUUCACCUCUAAUUCCAGUGGAAAUUCUGUCUUUUAUUAUCUUCACCUACUUCAUCUCAUUUUAAUUCUUUUCUAAUUCCUUUGCAAUUCAGUCCACAUUACACAUCACCACUGUCCAGAAAACGUGCCUUCCCUUGGGAAUGAGCACAGCUCCCAUCACACCUCAGAGAGGUAUAUUGCGUAGGUCUUCACCCAAGUGCCAUUGAUUUCCUAUUAAGUUUUACCUUUUUAAAAUUUUGUGGGUACAUAGUACAUAGGGGUAUAUGAGAUAUUUUGAUACAGGCAUAUGAUGCGUAAUAAUCACGUCAGGGUAAAUGGGGUAUCCAUCCCCUCAAGUCUUUAUCCUUUGUGUCACAAACAACCCAAUUAUAUUCUUUCAGUUAUUUAAAAAUGUAUAUUUGAAUUGUUAUUUACUAUAGUUACCCUGUUGUGCUACCGAAUACUAGAUAUUCAUUCUAUUUUUUGUACCCAUCAACCAUCCCCACUUCCCCUCCCCACCAGCUCCCA
rnacentral:lncRNA from 1 species